GCCUUGGUGGCUCAGACGGUAAAGCGUCUGCCUGCAAUGCGGGAGACCCGGGUUCGAUCCCUGGUUCAGGAA
rnacentral:tRNA from 1 species